rnacentral:rRNA from 2 species
UUUGAUCCUGGCUCAGGACGAACGCUGGCGGCGUGCCUAAUACAUGCAAGUCGAGCGGACAGAUGGGAGCUUGCUCCCUGAUGUUAGCGGCGGACGGGUGAGUAACACGUGGGUAACCUGCCUGUAAGACUGGGAUAACUCCGGGAAACCGGGGCUAAUACCGGAUGCUUGUUUGAACCGCAUGGUUCAAACAUAAAAGGUGGCUUCGGCUACCACUUACAGAUGGACCCGCGGCGCAUUAGCUAGUUGGUGAGGUAAYGGCUCACCAAGGCAACGAUGCGUAGCCGACCUGAGAGGGUGAUCGGCCACACUGGGACUGAGACACGGCCCAGACUCCUACGGGAGGCAGCAGUAGGGAAUCUUCCGCAAUGGACGAAAGUCUGACGGAGCAACGCCGCGUGAGUGAUGAAGGUUUUUGGAUCGUAAAGCUCUGUUGUUAGGGAAGAACAAGUACCGUUCGAAUAGGGCGGUACCUUGACGGUACCUAACCAGAA